AAAACGGAGAGUUUGAUCCUGGCUCAGGAUGAACGCUGGCGGUAUGCUUAACACAUGCAAGUUGAACGGUGCCUUAGGGCACAGUGGCGGACGGGUGAGUAACGCGUGAGAAUCUAGCUUUAGGUCUGGGACAACCACUGGAAACGGUGGCUAAUACCGGAUGUGCCGAGAGGUGAAAGGUUAACUGCCUGAAGAUGAGCUCGCGUCUGAUUAGCUAGUUGGAAGUGUAAUGGACUCCCAAGGCGACGAUCAGUAGCUGGUCUGAGAGGACGAUCAGCCACACUGGGACUGAGACACGGCCCAGACUCCUACGGGAGGCAGCAGUGGGGAAUUUUCCGCAAUGGGCGAAAGCCUGACGGAGCAAUAC
rnacentral:rRNA from 1 species